rnacentral:rRNA from 1 species
AACAAACGCUGGCGGCGUGCUUAAGCAUGCAAGUUGAGCGGCAAGGAGGAGAGAUCCUCCCUAGAGCGGCGGACUGGUGAGUAACGCGUGGGUAAUCUAUCGUAGGCAUGGGGAUAGUCACUAGAAAUAGUGGGUAAUACCGAAUACGUUCCAUGAGGGGAGUAUUCAUGGAAGAAAGGGUGCUACGGCACUGGCCUUAGGUGAGCUCGCGUCCCAUUAGCUAGUUGGUGAGGUAAAGGCCCACCAAGGCGAUGAUGGGUAGCCGGCCUGAGAGGGUGUACGGCCACACUGGGACUGAGAUACGGCCCAGACUCCUACGGGAGGCAGCAGCUAAGAAUAUUCCGCAAUGGACGGAAGUCUGACGGAGCGACGCCGCGUGGAUGAAGAAGGCCGAAAGGUUGUAAAGUUCUUUUGCUAGGGGAGAAUAAGUGUGGGAGGGAAUGCCUGCACGAUGACAAGGACUAGCGAAUAAGUCCCGGCCAACUACGUG